rnacentral:rRNA from 1 species
AUACGGAGGAUCCGAGCGUUAUCCGGAUUUAUUGGGUUUAAAGGGUGCGCAGGCGGCCAUUUAAGUCAGCGGUUAAAUCGUGGGGCUCAACCCCAUUCUGCCGUUGAUACUGGGGGGCUUGAUUGCGGCCGAGGUUGGCGGAAUUCUAUGUGUCGUGGGGAAAUGCAUAGAUAUGACGAAGAACACCGAUUGCGUAGGCAGCUGACCAGACCGCAAAUGACGCUCAUGCACGAAAGUGCGGGGAUCGAACAGGAUUAGAUACCCUGGUAGUCCGCACAGUAAACGGUGAAUACUUGUUUUCGGCGAUAUAAUGUCGGAGGCAAAGCGAAAGCGAUAAGUAUUCCACCUGGGGAGUACGCCGGCAACGGUGAAACUCAAAUGAAUUGACGGGG